GGGUAGUCCUAGCUCCCUAAAUUGUGAUCUAGAAAAUGGUAGGCAGGUUCCUUGACAAACCAAAAUAAAAAGUUCAUCCUGUUCCUUUAUCUCUUGGAAAGCCCGUUAACUUGCUAAGAGUGAUAUUCUCCAGUGGCUCAGGCAGGCAAGCUUUUCUUCGUAGUGCUAGUUCUUGUGCCACGGAAUGCAUGGCAGGUCGUUCCUCUGAAGUUGUACUCGUGCAUGCUAAGGCAACCCUAACUAUAAAAACAACCUGCUCUGCUAUGUGGCUUUUAGGAGAUGGAAGCCGCUGGUCU
rnacentral:misc_RNA from 1 species